rnacentral:rRNA from 1 species
UACGUAGGUGGCGAGCGUUGUCCGGAUUUACUGGGCGUAAAGAGCGCGCAGGCGGUCGUGCAAGUCGCGUGUGAAAGCCCCCGGCUCAACUGGGGAGGGUCACGCGAUACUGCUCGACUCGAAGGCAGUAGAGGGAAGUGGAAUUCCCGGUGUAGUGGUGAAAUGCGUAGAUAUCGGGAGGAACACCAGUGGCGAAGGCGACUUCCUGGCCUGUUCUUGACGCUGAGGCGCGAAAGCUAGGGUAGCAAACGGG